GGGGAUAUAGCUCAGUUGGUGAAGUGCUUGGCUUGCAUGCACAAGGCCCUGGGUUCAAUUCUCAGUACCACCA
rfam:Ictidomys tridecemlineatus contig107544, whole genome shotgun sequence.